rnacentral:rRNA from 1 species
GUAGGUGGCAAGCGUUGUCCGGAAUUAUUGGGCGUAAAGCGCGCGCAGGCGGUUCUUUAAGUCUGAUGUGAAAGCCCACGGCUCAACCGUGGAGGGUCAUUGGAAACUGGAGAACUUGAGUACAGAAGAGGAAAGCGGAAUUCCACGUGUAGCGGUGAAAUGCGUAGAGAUGUGGAGGAACACCAGUGGCGAAGGCGGCUUUCUGGUCUGUAACUGACGCUGAGGCGCGAAAGCGUGGGGAGCAAACAGGAUUAGAUACCCUGGUAGUCCACGCCGUAAACGAUGAGUGCUAAGUGUUAGGGGGUUUCCGCCCCCCUUAGUGCUGUAGCUAACGCAUUAAGCACUCCGCCUGGGGAGUACGGCCGCAAGGCUG